CCCUCAACUUUUAAGGUUAUCUCUAAGACACAGGCUCCAAAUCUUCUAACUCUGACAGUAUUCUCAAGUUUCACGGGACCGGGACCGUAGUAACAAAGUAGCAUUUGUGCAACAGGCCUGUGAGCAGUCACCCUGCUAUCCCCCCAGACACAGGGAGGAGGGAGCAGACAAAACCUUCCUCUGCCACUUGUUCCCUGAAGGGAGUUUGACCGCAUACCGAAGCAGCAGCUGCUGCAGGGCUGACUGCUGAUUAGCCUGCACCUACGUGUGGACUAGGGAUCCUCUCUGAGGCCCAGAAGAGCAGUAAAACCCAGUCUCCUGCUUCUCCCUGGAAGAAGAUGGAUGGAACGAACAUUUAUAAAUGGAAAGAAUCGGGGUGCCUGGGUGGCUCAGUUGGUCAAACAUCUGACUUCAGCUCAGGUAUCCUACACUGUACAACGUGCUCACAGCCACAAGGUAAAACAUCAAAAAAUUGUCACUACCUGGAAGGAGCUAAUGAUCAACAGAUGAACUAGUCUGGUUUCCUUUCAGCACCACAGAAGCUAACUUCCAUCUUCCACGGCCCUUCUGUGGCAGAUCCUGGCCUCACCCAGGGGAGCAUAUAUAUUCCCAUGGCAGUUGUCUGUUUACUUGGAAAGGCGAAGUUUGUUUUUCCAACAUCUAAGUCUUGCUUGAAUUGACCCCACAGGUCCCUUAAUCCCACUAAGCUAUUCUGAUCAUGUGCUUAUUUCAACUCUUGUCACCGCUAACGAGUGAUUCCCUCCCUUCGCACCAAUUUUUUGGUUCAUGUUCUUGUGUAACAGUGAGCAUAGAGAGCUUAAGAAAAGUUAUAAAAGGAAAUGUUCACAAUAUUCAGAAUUGAGUCUUAGAUUGCAAAUUCCCAUUUUGAACAGUUAAAUAUUAGAAGUACUGUGUUGAAAAGGAUUCUCUGAUGGAAUGAAACACGGGUUAGGUUUCUGACAUGUACAGAAUGCUAUGGGAGCUCAGAUGAAGGAGUUCUUAUCUCUGCAGAAGACGUAAGGGAUGGUCUUCUAAAAAUACAACAUUUUAUAAAGUUCCAGUUCCCUAUUUGUGACCGGAGAACAUUCCAGGCAGGAGGAAAUACAUUUGCAAAAAGUUCCAGCAAGUUCCAGCAGUAAUUCAAGGCAUGUGGGUUGGGUUUAGAGGCAGGCUGAAAAUAUUGUGGAAAAUAGGGCUGGAAAGUUAGAAGUUAAAACAGAGAUAAUCCAGACUUUUUGUAUGUGUCACUCUGGCAGCAAGCAGUGUCAAGAAUAAACUGGAGAGAUUUUUUUUUGUUUGUUUGUUUGUUUGUUUUCCUGUAAUGACCAUGUCACUCACCUUAAAGAGAGUAAUGCCUUGGGAGAACAUUGCAACAGACUCAGAAGCUAAUCAGAUUUCAACCCCAUCUAAAUUGAUAUAAUUUCUCAUUUACAUAGAAAAGAGAUAACUAAACAAAACCAGCUCUAAUGGCAAGAACUGAGUGUGAGGGUGGUGCUAAUUACGAACAUGAUGGAGAUCACGGGUAAGAUUUAUUAGGACUCUCACUAGAUGCCAUCGCUGACUCUCAGCACCUGACCUGGGCACUAGUGUCAUCUCAUCCUUAUGUGGCAUACUGCAAAAAGACCACAAAUUCCGCCCAUCCUUGAACUGUGUUCCUCUGUGAUAUGAAU